rnacentral:ncRNA from 1 species
CGGCUUUGACCUAAUGGCAUCCGUUUGCUGGAAUCUGAAUAGCUGAGAAGAAAGUGGCAAACAGGUGCAUAACGCAUGGGAAUCUGCCAGUUCAGACCAAAUCCUGAAGAAAGCUCAAAGCGCCGUUUGAUGAGCCUUCACAGUAGUAGUUAGUUUGUUAGGUAAAGGCUGGCCAAGCCAAUUAUGCUUAGCUGGUCUUUUUGGAUGAUCAGCUACACUGUGACUGAGACACAGCCCGGAUUCCCAUGAAGGUCAAUGCGGCUUGUAAAGCUUUUACGUCAAGUGUGCGAUCAUGACAGAACUCGAGGAAGAAACCCUGGCUAACUCCGUGACAGCAGCCGCCGUAAGAGGGGGGGGGGGG